rnacentral:rRNA from 1 species
AUGUUGCCUCGGCGGAUCAGCCCGCGCCCCGUAAAACGGGACGGCCCGCCAGAGGACCCAAACUCUAAUGUUUCUUAUUGUAACUUCUGAGUAAAACAAACAAAUAAAUCAAAACUUUCAACAACGGAUCUCUUGGUUCUGGCAUCGAUGAAGAACGCAGCAAAAUGCGAUAAGUAAUGUGAAUUGCAGAAUUCAGUGAAUCAUCGAAUCUUUGAACGCACAUUGCGCCCGCUGGUAUUCCGGCGGGCAUGCCUGUUCGAGCGUCAUUUCAACCCUCAAGCCCCCGGGUUUGGUGUUGGGGAUCGGCUCUGCCUUAUGGCGGUGCCGCCCCCGAAAUACAUUGGCGGUCUCGCUGCAGCCUCCAUUGCGUAGUAGCUAACACCUCGCAACUGGAACGCGGCGCGGCCAUGCCGUAAAACCCCAACUUCUGAAUGUUGACCUCGGAUCAGGUAGGAAUACCCGCUGAACUUAAGCAUAUCAAUAAG